UUAAAAAGAAAAAGAAAAAAGAAACAGAGAAAACCCAUUAACCGUGAAACGCAGAAAGAGAGGAAUUAAUCUGACGAUGGCUGACUCCUUACCGGGAAGCUUUACUCUUUGCUUUUCGGCUUGUGUUUCACCAAUUGGCCUACUUCCUCCCAAUGUAUAGCGUCCUGCUACCAUUGCUUUGGAACCGCUACUGUAUAGUUCGACGUCAGGAACCAAAAAAAGGUCUCCUCGGCCCAUAAACAACGCCUCCGAUGGGGUACGGUAAAUUAGAUCUAUUAUACGCUUUCAAAUUUUACAAUCACAUUUGGGUUUGGAUCCAGAUUUAAAUUCAGAAAUUAGGGCUUAGAAAACAGGAUUCUGAUAUCACUAUUUUUAUUAAAUAUUUUCAUUAAUAGUUUUUUUUUUUUUUUGAAUUCGUCUCGUUUAGAUUUAAAUCAUUCAAUUUCUCUGUAGAGAUGAAGUGAAAUUGUGGGAUUUUGAAUAUUUGCUCAAAGAUUUUCUGUUUUUUGUUUUGUUUGCCCAACUCUAUACUUUAUGACUCAAUGAAAGACACUGUUUCACCGUAUAGCAAUUAUGUGCUGUGAUUGAUAUAUGUGAUAUAUUCAUUGAAGUUUCGGAUACUGUGGCUUGGCAUAUAUAUAAUUUUAUAUGGGUACGAACUUGAUUCGUAAAAGCUAUGGUUACAAUUGCACCACCGUCAAUGAAAUUUCUAGGUUUAUUGAGAUAUGAUAUGACUGCUUUGUUUUAUCAUAUAAUAGUUGAAGCACUAUAAUCUUUGUUAUGAUUCUGAUAUAUCUAUGGAAUUAUGUGCUUGACAUCAUUCAUAUGCUUUUAUAUCCUUAGGUUAAAUGAAUAUAUAUAGAUUCAUGUGCGGAUAUAUAAACUAUUGUUUCCUAACUAUUGGUUUUUCGAUAUUAGUUCAUGAUCAUAUGGGUUAGAUUUUGUUUGAACUAAGGUCUUUGGGUUAGAAUUGAUUUUGUUUAGGAUUAUUGUUUUUUGGUAAAAGAGAUUGAAACAGUGUUGCCUCGCAGCAAACUGUUCAUCUUCUACUAUGCAGAAAUCUCCCUCUGAAGAUACUUGCAGCCAAUCACAGGUUCUUUAUGAAUACAAUUUCUUUGUUUUCAGUAAACUAAAAUAUUUGAAUGGCUGAAAUAGAUAGGAAUAGGUCCAGUGACUAAGGGUGGAGCAGCAUCCGUUGAUCAACUCCAGUCUCUGGAAGGGAAUUCAUGAGAGGCAAGCAUUAAGAAGGGAUUCAAUCAGAGGUUAUUCUGAAAGGAAUUUUUUAUCCGGUUCGGACUGGGUAUUAAUUCAAGGUUUAAGUAGUUUUUAAUAAAUACUGCAUAAAUGGCAAGUGUAGCAAUUUAAAAAUGAAUAUUUGAUGUGAGAUUCAAUUUUGAUGUAUAUUUGUGUUGUUAGUGAAUUGCUCUCUUGCUGCAUUUAAUAUUAGCGUCUUUCUAUGAUUUCACUUCUACUUGAGUUGAUUGUCAAAAUUCAUUGGUUGCAAUGGCAUAAGUUUGUAGUAGCUUAUUGUUGUGUGACAUAUGAAGCUUUUUUUUUAAAUGAUGAUCUAUGAUUACUUAGUACCUAACUUUAGGGUGAAAAUUUCUUAAGAUUUUUAAAUUGUAAUUGUGAAAUAUAAACUGCACUUUGAAAGUGGUCAUUAUGCGUGUUUACUUUUGGUUUUAUGGUUAAAAUUUUAAAUUGUAAUUGUAAAAUGUAAACUACACUUUGAAAGGGGUCAUUAUGUGUGUUUAAUUUUGGUUUUAUGGUUAUGUAAUGGACUGUGUAUUGAGAUUUACUUUUGUUAUUGUUUGCUCUGUUAUGGUUUGUACUGAGAUUUAAUUUUGUUGAUUUUGGUUCUAUAAAUCAAACUCAGAAGACUUUGGUUUUGUGCCUCUUGAUUUGCAAGCAUUGUUGGAGUUUUGAUCUCAUGUUGGGUUAAAGUUAUAUGAUAAACUUAUUGGAUACUCGGUGUUCCUAAAAAGUUCAAGGAUAUAUUAAAAAAGAACACUAUAAUUGGGAUAAACAAAGUAAAUUUGCCCAUGGGUGGAACCGAAGUUACCCUUUUGGCACAUGGUUAAAUCCUCUUGGGCUAUUAGAUUUUUUACCAAUUACAUUCAAAUUUCAAUAUGAAUAAUCUUAGGCAUCUACAUCCCAUUGUGGAUUUCCAUAGCAUGCAUGUAAGUGAUUCUGCUGCUAACUUUAAGCCUUAAUAUUUUGGACUUCAAUGGAACCAGUAGAUGGAAUGUGAUAUAAAUUUUCAUUUUUUUUAUGUUUUGAGGUGUAAGGAGUACUUUUAGAAACAUGAUCAUGUGCUUUAAUUUAUUGUCUAUAUGAAGAGGUACUUUAUCCAAUUCAAUUUCUUAAUGCUUUGGAAAUUUUAACUUACACCCAAUUACUUUUGAGAUAUUUAAGUAAUCUUAAUGUUCAUAAUUACUUUUCAAUUUUUUUUUUCUUUUUUAAUGGGGAUCAAAUUGGCACUCUACUCCCAUAAAAUUGGAUCAAGACCCCUUCUGGAUGCAUCUAUUUUGCCAUAAGAAAAUGUUUCUACCAUCCCCUAUUUCAUAACAAAGAAACUUCCAAACCAUGCCUCUAAUCUUAAGCAAUUUUUGGGGUUUUAUGAAUGUUAUUUGCAUUUUAGGCUUUAGCAAAUGAGAAUAGUAACUCUUUGCAGAGAGGGUGAUGCUAUUUUUAAAAUUGAUUAUCAGUGGCUAUAUGUUAUUUGUAUUAAUGUCUGUUCUGUGAAAGUCCUUUAUUGUUGUUUAGAUUAUUUUUUGUUUCUUUUCGUGCCAACAUGGUCUAUGCUGUGACCGAUGGAAUUGAGAGUAUUUAGUUGAAUUCAAGGCGACAACCCUCCUAAAAGCUAUUAGACAAGAAGAGAUUAGUUUUUUAUGGAGUAAUAUUUGCUGCCUCUUAUUGCUUAAGCCAUAGCUUAAAUACAACUAUGACAAAUUUAUUUAAAAUUGAAUACAAUUUCAAAUUGUAUUUUUGGGUGCAGCACAUCACACUUAGAAAUCCUAAUUUACUUAGGUUUAGAAACCCUUAAUUUUUUGGUAAUUUGUUGGCUUAUAAAUUCUAUCCAGUUCUUAUGUGUUUCUAUACAAUUUUGUAGGCUCUAUUUAGUACUAUUAGUGGAAGCAAUUGGACUUGCUCGUGGAGGAGCUUACAGGGUGAAUGUGAAAAGGAGCUGCCAUUGUUGGGUUUCUUGGUUCAAUAAGAAAAAGGAGGAAGCUUUAUAUGUUUUUGGUCAUGCUUUCUUUGGGUUUCUUUGAGAGGUUGGUCUGACUGCUGUGGAGAGUUGUUGCUAUGCACUUUGCUAUUGCAUUAAUUUCUAGAUAGCUUCUAAACUCUAUAGACUUGGUCCUUCAAUGUGCAUGGCAGAAAGUAGAAAAUAAAAUUCAGUAGUAGGGUGGUAGCUAUGGAUCUUAGUACAAAUUUUAUAAUUUCGUCAUUGAAAGUGUCAAAGUUUAUCAUUUUAGUACAAAUUUUGUAGUUUGUUAUUGGAAGAGGAGGAAGAAGAAAAAAAUGUAAUCUAAAUGAUUCUGUAAUGUUUUCCAUUAAAAAAAUGUAAUCUGAAUGAUUCUGUAAUGUUUUCCAUUUACUCAAUAUUACAUUAGUUGCUUAUAAACACAAAAUUUGGUUGUUUUUAAUCUAGACCUCUGAAUUUUAUGAGUUUUAAUAAGAAUUAUUUGCUGGAAAUUAAUAUUUUAAGCAUCAAUAACUAAAUAUAGAGAAGAAACAAAAGAAAGUAAGAACGAAGUGGGGAAAUGUUAUCGGGUCAUCUCUGCUUCUCUCUUUUCUUUUCUUUGCCUUGCUUUUUGUCCAUAUACCCUUUUUUACUUUUGCUCCCAUGUCUUGCUGCUUGCUUUGUUGUAUAUGUUCUUGCUGUUGGUUGUUUUGUUGGUUGUCGAGGGUGAAUGGGAAAAGGAGCUGCCUUUGUUGGGUUUCUUAAUUCAAUAAGAAAAAGGAGAAAGCUUUAUAUGUUUUUGGUCAUGCUUUCUUUGGGUUUUUUUUGAGAGGUUGGUCUGACUGCUGUGGGGAGUUGUUAGUGGUCUCGGCUCUCGCAAGUUUGUGGGAAAGGAGAGAACUUUUUUUAUUUUGGGCUAGGAAAUGGUUCUGUUUAUGGAGUUUUGGAGGGAGGGAACAGUGGUACUUUUUGUAUUUGUUAUUUUACUUUUUUUCUUUUCUAUCUCAUUUGUCUAUAUUGAAUUGUGCUUAAGAACAACCAAUGCUAUUGCCCAUUGUAACUAGAUAGAUAAAUCACUUUGUUGUAUAUUGCAGAAUAUGACCAGCAAGAUAGAGUUACAAAAAAUUGCCCCAUUUUGUAAAAUAUGUUACUAUCUAAUUUUAUAAAGAACAUUUUUCUACCA